rnacentral:rRNA from 1 species
UUUUCCGGUUGAUCCUGCCGGAGGCCAUUGCUAUCGGGGUCCGACUUAGCCAUGCUAGUCGUACGAGUUCGGACUCGUGGCGAAUAGCUCCGUAACACGUGGCCAAGCUACCCUUCGGAGAGGGAUACCCUCGGGAAACUGAGACUAAUACCUCAUCGGUGACGCCAACUGGAAUGUGGCGUCACUCAAAGGCUCCGGCGCCGAAGGAUGCGGCUGCGGCCGAUUAGGUAGACGGUGGGGUAACGGCCCACCGUGCCGAUAAUCGGUACGGGUUGUGAGAGCAAGAACCCGGAGACGGAAUCUGAGACAAGAUUCCGGGCCCUACGGGGCGCAGCAGGCGCGAAACCUUUACACUGCACGCCAGUGCGAUAAGGGGACCCCGAGUGCGCAGGCAUAGAGCCUGUGCUUUUCUGGACCGUAGGGAGGUCCUGGAAUAAGGGCCGGGCAAGAAUCGAAUUCCCG